UACAGAGGUCUCAAGCGUUGUUCGGAUUCAUUGGGCGUAAAGGGUGUGUAGGUGGCGCCCGUAAGUCGGAUGUGAAAUCCCCAAGCUUAACUUGGGAACUGCAUCCGAUACUGGAUGGCUUGAAUCCGGGAGAGGGAUGCAGAAUUCCAGGUGUAGCGGUGAAAUGCGUAGAUAUCUGGAGGAAUACCGGUGGCGAAGGCGGCAUCCUGGACCGGCAUUGACGCGUGAGGAG
rnacentral:rRNA from 1 species